GUCUUUGUGGUACAGUGGUCAGCACACUCGGCGUGCAUUCGAGAGGUCCGCGGUUCGAGUCCUGGCGAGGACA
rnacentral:tRNA from 1 species